CUGUCACUCAAAAAAAUAAUUCCAAACGAGAUAGUCCUAAACAAAUCAUGAACAUAAGUUGAAGAUAUUUGAUAAAAAAUAUUAUAUAAUAUACUCCAAGACGUUUACAAGCGACCAAAAUAUGACAUCUUUCCAAGGUUAAAAUAGCUAAGGCACCCAUAUAAAAACAUUUAACUUUUGAGAACAAGAAAAACAUUUAUUUUGGCGCAUUGGACUAAAAUUACUUUUCGAGCUUGAAAAUACAUUGCAAACAUAAACGGUGUAAAAAUGGCAUUCGAAAUGCAAUAAAACUCAGAUUAUAAAUUUAAAAUUUAUCACUGCAAGCUUUUUGAAUACAUUUGAAUUUUUUUUUUGCUCAAUAUAGCAUAUAUAAUAUGGAAUAUAAUUUAUUAAUAAUAUUUAAACAAUUUGCUAUUUGUUCGAUUGUAAAGAAUGCAAACACUAUUUCUUCAUUUUAAAGGCAUUUGUUAAUCGAGUCGAGAGUAUAAGACUUUUGUACAAAUUGUUAGUUGAAUGGAACGUUGCAGUUUAAAUAAUACCAAAACAAGUGGAAAAAAAUAUGGCUGAACAUCAAGUCGAUGUGAUGUUGUUUGUAAGGCUCCUCCAGCUCGGGCGCUAGAAGUCCAGGAAAGCAUCGAUGGCACACUGAUUGGUCAGCUGGUCGAAAUGCCUGUCCUCGUAGAUACGGAUUCCAUCCCUGGCUAUAAUCUCCCGAGGCGAGAGCUGCAAAUGGCAAUUGAAAGACGACUAUUCCAUGGCAUGGUAAACUGAACGUAACUUACACUUAGCAGCUGCUUGGAGCUCAGGUUAUAGUCCUUGUAGAUGGCAAUCCUUUGGAGCGCCAUCACACUGCGGAUACGCUGGCGCGGCUCAAUGGUGAGCAGCUUGCGCAGCACAUCCCUGCCCUCGUGGGUGAGGUGCUGCACCUCCUCCGGCAGGAAGUCCUCGCUGUCGCCGUCACUGUCCUGCAGGCAGCCGUUGAUCUGAGCAAUGGAUGGGGCAUUGGACAGGCCGUCCUCCGGCUCCACGCUCUCACGCCGUCGCAGUAGGUGGCGUUUGAUGUUGGGCGACUGCAAUUAGGAUUAUACAAUAAGAAGCAUUAAUAGUGAAUCCUUUUCACUAGAGCAUACUUUUCAGCGUCCCUCGAAAUUAGCCGCGCCGCAAACCCUCAUGCAAAAUACCUCUGCGCCAAGUUAUACAGGUAUAUAAACAAAUAGAACCCAUGUGUCAGAGUAUCUGAUUUCUGAUUUCAAACCAUCAAGUCUGCAAGAAAUCAUCGGUAGUCACCAAAGCGAUGAGCCAUACUCCUCUGUGUAUCUUCUUCGCCUGUCUGUCAGCUAUUCCAAAAAAUAAUAAUUAGCGUCCGGUGCCAACACGAUCAAUCGAACAAUGCCAAUGGUGACGCCCUGAAUCAUAUCUAAAUAACCAAACAAUUUGCCACAGAUACAUGAACACGCAAAUACGCAAAUCACAAACGUCAGCUUAUGGACAGAGUCAACUAACCACAUGGCUCUGGGGUAUUUU
ensembl:ncRNA asRNA:CR44841 antisense RNA:CR44841